GACACAUGGGCCCCGCACACAUCCUUCAACCUCUCGCUCGGUCUCCUGCUUCUGCACGACAGCGCCGCCACGCCCAGAUCGGACUCCGUGCGAUUCGCCCGAUCCCGAGUUCCUCGGUCCAACCCGUGGGCACCAAGAGACUCUCAAACCCCUCGACUGGUUCCCACAAUCACCGCUUGAGGCCCGCCCUGAUUUCAUGCUCGCUGGCCUCGAGAUGAUCCGCCGCAGAGCCAAACACCGGCGUGUGAAUCGACCAUCUCCGAUUGCUCGGAGCGUGACAAGUAGAAUUAUCAAGAUUGUGAGUGCGACGAUCUUCAUCAAACUUACAGGCAAGUUACACCUUGAUCAUCCUUCAUCCUAUUUUUUAUGCAUGUAGUUAUAUAUCACAUUACUAUAUUAUGCAUGUGUAGGAAUAUUAUGGUAGCAUGUUACUGCUAUUGAGAUGCAGUUAGUACGGCCUUAUUGUAGAUCUUGGUAGUUGUACUCUUGCUAUGCUAUGUAGACGGGGAUUGGUUCAUGUAUUCAUCGAGAUUAUGUGAGGACUAUAUAUAAUAUAACUUGAGUAAAAACAUCAUAUAUAUUUACCUAUGGACGGACAGGGUUGCAUCAAGGUUUCUUGUUCCUUUUCGACGGGCAUGGACCAUGGCUAAGUGCGCCCAAACGGUAUUGCUGGGUGGUUUCAAGAACAUCAUGGUUUAUACCCACUAAAUGUAAGUGGGUGUCGUCCAGGCUCAAAGAUCAGACAAACUUAGUGACUAGUAGCUUCCAUGUACAACCACUGGCUAAUAUGGGCUCUGGCUUAGUUGAUCAGUUGUGGAGACGUUACCUGGAUGUGCCAGCAGAUGUAGUUAUCAUAGUUGGGAUGGGCCUCCUAUGGGACUAGGCGACUGCUUCUGAAAGACUUUGUCUCAAUCUUCGGGUUGAGUCCAAUGGAUAAAGUGUACAAACCUCUGCAGAGUGUAUAAACUAAUCAUGAUUAGCCGUGUCCCCAGUUAUGGAUAAA